AUUGAACGCUGGCGGCAGGCUUAACACAUGCAAGUCGAGCGGAGAUGAGGUGCUUGCACCUUAUCUUAGCGGCGGACGGGUGAGUAAUGCUUAGGAAUCUGCCUAUUAGUGGGGGACAACAUUCCGAAAGGGAUGCUAAUACCGCAUACGUCCUACGGGAGAAAGCAGGGGAUCUGCGGACCUUGCGCUAAUAGAUGAGCCUAAGUCGGAUUAGCUAGUUGGUGGGGUAAAGGCCUACCAAGGCGACGAUCUGUAGCGGGUCUGAGAGGAUGAUCCGCCACACUGGGACUGAGACACGGCCCAGACGCCUACGGGAGGCAGCAGUGGGGAAUAUUGGACAAUGGGGGGAACCCUGAUCCAGCCAUGCCGCGUGUGUGAAGAAGGCCUUAUGGUUGUAAAGCACUUUAAGCGAGGAGGAGGCUACUGAGACUAAUACUCUUGGAUAGUGGACGUUACUCGCAGAAUAAGCACCGGCUAACCCUGUGCCAGCCGCCGCCGUAACAC
rnacentral:rRNA from 1 species